rnacentral:rRNA from 1 species
GGAUUUUGGUACAGAUUGUGUAGGAUAGGUGGGAGCCAUAGAAGCCGAGGCGCUAGCUUCGGUGGAGGCAACCUUGAAAUACCACCCUGUUUGUGCUGGGAUUCUAACCAUGGUCCGUGAUCCGGAUCGGGAACAGCGUCAGGUGGGCAGUUUGACUGGGGCGGUCGCCUCCUAAAUUGUAACGGAGGCGCCCAAAGGUUCCCUCAGACUGGUUGGCAAUCAGUCGUUGAGUGCAAUGGCAAAAGGGAGCUUGACUGCGAGACCCACAAGUCGAGCAGGUGCGAAAGCAGGGCAUAGUGAUCCGGCGGUUGCGUGUGGAAGCGCCGUCGCUCAACGGAUAAAAGGUACCCCGGGGAUAACAGGCUCAUCUUCCCCAAGAGUCCAUAUCGACGGGAAGGUUUGGCACCUCGAUGUCGGCUCGUCGCAUCCUGGGGCUGAAGUAGGUCCCAAGGGUUGGGCUGUUCGCCCAUUAAAGCGGUACGCGAGCUGGGUUUAGAACGUCGUGAGACAGUUCGGUCCCUAUCCGAUGCAGCCGUAGGAAACCUGAGGAAGGCUGUCCCUAGUACGAGAGGACCGGGACGGACGUAGCUCUCGUGUGCCAGUUGUCCUGCCAAGGGCACCGCUGGUUUGCGACCUACGGGAGGGAUAAGCGCUGAAGGCAUCUAAGUGCGAAGCCUGUUCCGAGAUGAGGUUUCCCACAGGGUUAACCUGGUAAGGCCCGUGGUAGACGACCACGUUGAUAGGCCGGAGGUGUACGCACGGUAACGUGUUCAGCCGACCGGUACUAAUCGGCCGAGGGCUUGGGGAU